GCCAGCAGCCAUAUUGCCCUGCAACUCACAACAAGCUAAGGAGGUAUGAGCCUGUCCAGUACCUUGAUGGGAGACCUCCUGGGAAAAACUAAGGUUGCAGCUGGAA
rnacentral:rRNA from 1 species